rnacentral:rRNA from 1 species
UACGGAGGGUGCGAGCGUUAUCCGGAAUUACUGGGUUUAAAGGGUGCGUAGGCGGCUAUGUAAGUCAGGAGUGAAAGUUUGCGGCUCAACCGUAAAAUUGCUUUUGAUACUGCAUGGCUGGAAUUAGGAUGAGGUCAGCGGAAUGUGGCAUGUAGCGGUGAAAUGCGUAGAGAUGUGGAGGAACACCAGUGGCGAAGGCGACUCUUUGGUCUGUAACUGACGCUGAGGCGCGAAAGCGUGGGGAGCAAACAGG